GAAGGGUGCAAGCGUUACUCGGAAUUACUGGGCGUAAAGCGUGCGUAGGUGGUUUGUUAAGUCUGAUGUGAAAGCCCUGGGCUCAACCUGGGAAUUGCAUUGGAUACUGGCAGGCUAGAGUGCGGUAGAGGAUGGCGGAAUUCCCGGUGUAGCAGUGAAAUGCGUAGAGAUCGGGAGGAACAUCUGAGGCGAAGGCGGCCAUCUGGACCAGCACUGACACUGAGGCACGAAAGCGUGGGGAGCAAACAGGAUUAGAUACCCUGGUAGUCCACGCCCUAAACGAUGCGAACUGGAUGUUGGGAGCAAUUAGGCUCUCAGUAUCGAAGCUAACGCGUUAAGUUCGCCGCCUGGGGAGUACGGUCGCAAGACUG
rnacentral:rRNA from 1 species